rnacentral:rRNA from 1 species
UACGUAGGCAGCGAGCGUUGUUCGGAAUUACUGGGCGUAAAGAGUGUGUAGGCGGUGUUCCCAGUCUGUUGUGAAAUCUCCCGGCUUAACUGGGAGGGUGCAGCGGAAACUAGAAUGCUAGAGGGUGGGAGAGGUAAGCGGAAUUCCUGGUGUAGCGGUGAAAUGCGUAGAUAUCUGGAGGAACACCGGUGGCGAAGGCGGCAUCCUGGACCAACACUGACGCUGAUGAGCGAAAGCCAGGGGAGCAAACGGG